rnacentral:rRNA from 1 species
UACGUAGGUGGCAAGCGUUGUCCGGAAUUAUUGGGCGUAAAGCGCGCGCAGGCGGUUCUUUAAGUCUGAUGUGAAAGCCCACGGCUCAACCGUGGAGGGUCAUUGGAAACUGGGGGACUUGAGUACAGAAGAGAAGAGUGGAAUUCCACGCGUAGCGGUGAAAUGCGUAGAGAUGUGGAGGAACACCAGUGGCGAAGGCGACUCUUUGGUCUGUAACUGACGCUGAGGCGCGAAAGCGUGGGGAGCAAACAGG